AACUAGAAUUCUGUUUUGGGAGAGGUAAGGUACAAGAAGCAUGCACACCUUGCCUGAAGGUGCACGAAGCUUGACUCUUCCUAGAACACCUGGGGCCACGUGCUUGUGGGCCUGAGGACAACACGGCUAAUGGCUACUCUAGAUGCCAGCUAAGAGCCCGCCACACCUGCACCAGGUUUCUACGCCUUCCUCACGCAGUCCUUUCAAAACCCACACCUCUCAGUCCAUUCAGGCCGCACCCCCUCAUCCUCAGCUAACCCUCCCUCGUCAGUGCCCCAGCAACCCCUACAUCCAAUGAGGGAGCCUCUGAGCCCCGAGCUCCGCCCCCUUCCACCUGUCUCUGUGGUCUAUCCCGCACCGAGCAGCAGCAAUUGCUCUGCAAAGCCUUAAGCUCCGCCGAAUACCAACCUGGCCCGCCUCGGGCGGUGCUGAAGGCGACAGUCUCCGGAGAGCUUGUGCAAAUAUAUACUUUGAAGUCUGGCUUCCGGUUCCAGGAUAGCUCUUUCUGGAGGUGACACUUCUUCAAGCGUGCUCUCUCCAUCGGCAGGACUUGGAGGAGCUGGGAGCAACUACCCGCAGCAGCCCUGUUCCUGGACCCUCUCUCAUGGCCUCAAGACAUUGCUUCUACAGUGCCUCUGCCCCGCACCUGCUCUCAGCUCCGACAGAAGUCACUCCCUCAGAGUCUCACUAUUGCUGGGUAAUGAACUACCGUCCCCUCCCUGCCUUACCGCCGCCUUCCUUGGAACAGUGAUUUAGAGAUUUGAGUCUGUGCCUCCUGAACUGCCAUUCCUAAGACCCCAAAUAAACUCCUUUGACUUUCACA
rnacentral:sRNA from 1 species